rnacentral:rRNA from 1 species
AACGAACGCUGGCGGCAUGCCUAACACAUGCAAGUCGAACGAGACCUUCGGGACUAGUGGCGCACGGGUGCGUAACGCGUGGGAACCUGCCCUUAGGUUCGGAAUAACUCUCCGAAAGGGGUGCUAAUACCGGAUAAUGUCUUCGGACCAAAGAUUUAUCGCCUUUGGAUGGGCCCGCGUUGGAUUAGCUAGUUGGUAGGGUAAAAGCCUACCAAGGCGACGAUCCAUAGCUGGUCUGAGAGGAUGAUCAGCCACACUGGGACUGAGACACGGCCCAGACUCCUACGGGAGGCAGCAAUGGGGAAUAUUGGACAAUGGGCGAAAGCCUGAUCCAGCAAUGCCGCGUGAGUGAUGAAGGCCUUAGGGUUGUAAAGCUCUUUUACCCGGGAUGAUAAUGACAGUACCGGAAGAAUAAGCUCCGGCUAACUCCGUG